UCUAAUAUGGCAGAUUAGUGCAAUGAACUUAAACCUCAUAUAUAAAGGUUACAUCUUUUUUUAGAA
rnacentral:tRNA from 1 species